rnacentral:rRNA from 1 species
UGGGCCUCAAAUAAUGUGUGACUACCCCCUAAAUUAAAGCAU